AAUUAAAAAUUUUAUUCAUUUUUUUUGUUAAAAGUUGACGUAGCUGACAGAAUAACUAAAUAAUUACACUUAUUGUGUCAUGUAUACAUCAUGCGCUAAUGUAUAAAGACCCGUUUUUAAAAGUAAAAUUGGAUGAAAUUAUAAUC
rfam:Gossypium raimondii Chr03_contig_655, whole genome shotgun sequence.